UGUUUUGACAAUACUUCCUGACAGGUGACAUAGAACAGGUAUAAAAGAUCCCGCCACAGAGCUUGCUUCAUUAUUUGAUGUUUGUGUUUGUGAGCCUAGCGUGUUCCAAGAAACACCGGCUUUUAGUAGGAAACUCGACCCCAGAGUCCGUUAACAGUGAUAACAACAUCAACAUCACCGCAGGCUUCUGAGCUCAUCACGUGCUCGCGAUUGUCUUGUAAGCUAGUGAACUGCCUGCAGGUAUCAAAGACUGAAGCAAACCUCAGGAUGUGGAAGCUGUUGUUGGUGUCUGUCGUCUCUGCUGUCGUAACGUCCGUGGUGGCUCAGACCGGCAGCCCCUUUCCUUUGUUCGGAACCGGGCCACCCUCUGACCCUGGGGCACUGGGAACCUUUGGAGCAUCCAGUCCUACAAGUGGAGGCUCUGGCAUGUCCUUCAUGUUGCCACUUCUUAUGCAACGGGGGGGGAUGGGCGAAAUGUCCUCUCCGCUGAUGAUGAUGAUGGCGAUGCAGAAUCCCAGUGCGUGGCCCUUCCUUUUAAUGGGCAGCGGCAGCGGCAGCGAGAUGUCUCCCUCUACUAUGCUCAUGUUCUCUAUGCUCAACAAGGGCUUCAUGGGCUGAGUGAGACAUGAGGCACGGAGUCCUGGCUUGCGGCGUGAAUCUUAGUUUUUGGCUCCUUAUCAUCUUCUUAUACUUUGAGAUAUUUUUGAAAGUGUCCAAAAUGCACGAUUUAAUACUUCCAUUUUGUUUAUGGUUGAUUUUUUACAGCUUGUAAAGUUCAGUUAUAUAUUUUUUUUCGCCCGCUGUAACAAAGUCGAAAUAAUUCAUCAAUCAAUCCUUUCUUUUAUUGUUUUUACAUCAAAUUGUCAUUUAUUUGUGAGCGUUGGGCUGAAAGCUGAGCGGCAUAUAAGCAUGUACAAUGUGCCACUGUUUUCUUACUUUUUAAUAUGUCGUCAAUAAAGUCUCUCACAACAAACA